UACAAUACAAAAUUACUGUGAAUUUACUUAAGUACAUAUUAAUUGUACACAAUAAUAUUAUAUUUUUUUGUAUAAAUGUAUACGCAUAAUCAGUAUAACCAGUUUUAUAUGACGUAUAAAUGUUUACCUACCUAUUAUCUACGUCGAAAUACCAUUAGCUGCUGGACGUAGCAGUAGCAGGGCUGUAUAAUCAAUUUUAAAACAAGUUUGCUUAGCAAUUUAAUUUUCAUUACCUAUCUACGUAGUCUGUCCUUUGGUCACACGGACGUAGCUGAGCAUAUAGAUGGUACAUAAUAUCAAUAACGAAAAACAACCUGCAAUUUGCAUUAAUAAUUCAGAAGACCUAGCGUAGCAUUGUGUUGUGUAGUUGUAUUGAUGGGAUUAUAAUCGCUUAUAUUAUAUUGUGCAUAAUAUUUAGAUAUCGUUUUAAAAAUUUAUUUUUCUGAUUAAGUAUUAAGUACAAAAUUAAUUCAUUCCUCACAGAUAUUUUUCAGUGUUUAUUAUACAUUAUAGUAAGAUAAUAACUUACAUAUUUGUUAAUUUACUUUAAAAUAAUGUUUAGUGUUUAGUGACGUUCAUUUGAUAUAUCUAAUAUAUUAUACAUUUUCGCUUCAAUACUAAUUCAUCAUUGGCCAUGAAGGUGACGUAUUCCUGGUUGAUAUAUUCAUGCUUCAUUUUUGGAGAAGGCGUUUUUUGUGAUAGAAAACUUGAAAAACGUCAAACUGUAUCAUCUUGCACAGUGUUGAAAUCCUGAUGACGCAUUUAACUGUUCAAAUGGACAAUGUAUCGAAUCGUCGGCUGUUUGCGACGGUCAUGCGGAUUGUUCAGAUAGUUCAGACGAGACCAACGAUUUAUGUGCAAAACAAACAUGUCGAAAUUAUUCCUAUCGAU